ensembl:misc_RNA 7SK 7SK RNA
GGAUGUGAGGGCGAUCUGGCUGCGACAUCUGUCACCCCAUUGAUCGCCAGGGUUGAUUCGGCUGAUCUGGCUGGCUAGGCGGGUGUCCCCUUCCUCCCUCACCACUCCAUGUGCGUCCCUCCUGAAGCUGCAUGCUUGGUCCAAGAGGACAACCAUCCCCGAUAGAGGAGGACCAGUCUUCAGUCAAGGGUAUACGAGUAGCUGCACUCCCCUGCUAGAACCUCCAAGCAAGCUCUCAAAAAUUCAUAUGGAACAAUAAAAGACCCCGAAUAGCAAAAAUGAUCCUUCACAGAAAGAACAGUACUGGAGGAGUAUCAAUACUAAAUUU